rnacentral:rRNA from 1 species
GUGGGGAAUUUUGGACAAUGGGGGCAACCCUGAUCCAGCCAUUCCGCGUGAGUGAAGAAGGCCUUCGGGUUGUAAAGCUCUUUCGGCAGGAACGAAACGGUGAGCGCUAAUAUCGCUUACUAAUGACGGUACCUGAAGAAGAAGCACCGGCUAACUACGUGCCAGCAGCCGCGGUAAUACGUAGGGUGCGAGCGUUAAUCGGAAUUACUGGGCGUAAAGCGUGCACAGGCGGUUGUGCAAGACAGAUGUGAAAUCCCCGGGCUUAACCUGGGAAUGGCAGUUGUGACUGCACGGCUAGAGUGUGUCAGAGGGGGGUAGAAUUCCACGUGUAGCAGUGAAAUGCGUAGAGAUGUGGAGGAAUACCCAUGGCGAAGGCAGCCCCCUGGGAUAAUAUUGACGCUCAUGCACGAAAGCGUGGGGAGCAAACAGGAUUAGAAACCCCUGUAGUCC